UGUUUAAUUAAAACAAAGCAUUGCGACGGUCCUCGAGGAUGCUGACGCAAUGU
rnacentral:rRNA from 7 species